GACGAACCGUGCGAACGUUGUUCGGAAUCACUGGGCUUAAAGGGCGCGUAGGCGGGCGACCAAGUCCGGGGUGAAAUCUUUCGGCUCAACCGGAAAAGUGCCUUGGAUACUGGUUGUCUUGAGGGAGGUAGGGGCAGGUGGAACUUCCGGUGGAGCGGUGAAAUGCGUUGAUAUCGGAAGGAACGCCGGUGGCGAAAGCGACCUGCUGGAUCUCUACUGACGCUGAUGCGCGAAAGCUAGGGGAGCAAACGGG
rnacentral:rRNA from 1 species